rnacentral:rRNA from 1 species
UACAGAGGUCCCAAGCGUUGUUCGGAUUCACUGGGCGUAAAGGGUGCGUAGGUGGUGAGGUAAGUCGGAUGUGAAAUCUCCAAGCUCAACUUGGAAACUGCAUUGGAAACUACCUUGCUAGAGGAUUUGAGGGGGGAUUGGAAUACUUGGUGUAGCAGUGAAAUGCGCAGAUAUCAAGUGGAACACCAGUGGCGAAGGCGAAUCCCUGGAAAAUACCUGACACUGAGGCACGAAAGCUAGGGGAGCAAACAGG